rnacentral:lncRNA from 1 species
CAUCUGCAAACCUUUGGAAAUCCUCGAGGGAGGAACUCCGUCUUCUUGCUUUGAAAACCCAAAGGGGCUCUACGCCUUCUUCCAUCAUUGACCAAGAUUGGACAGGCUUCCAUGAAUCAAGUCUUAAUGGUGGUUGCCACCAAGUCAUGUUCACAUCUUUUUGACCUAUAUCCAAGAAUUCAUGUGAAUCGAACCUUGAUGAUUGCCGCCACCAAGUUCCGUUCGAAUUUUUUUUUUUUGAAUCCUUAUGAAGCAAGCCUUAAUGGUUGUAGCCACCAAGUCUUUUUCGGAUUCCACCAAACUAACACCUAUUUGUUUAUUUUUUUUUUAAUUUACCUAUAAUCUAGGGUUGAAAUAGAGAGAGAAAAUAUGAUAAAUCUAUAUAAGGUUUUACCUUCCAGACUUGUUUGAAGAAUCCGAUCCCAUGUAUACCAAUCCCCAAGACAAGCAAUUGUGUCAGGUUUAGUGUUGGAGGUCAGCUUUGGUUCCUUCAAACAAUUUCAGCAAGUGUAAAUAGUUGACAGGUUGAUCCACU